rnacentral:rRNA from 1 species
GCGGAGGAAAAGAAACUAACAAGGAUUCCCCUAGUAACUGCGAGUGAAGCGGGAAGAGCUCAAAUUUAAAAUCUGGCGGUCACCGGCCGUCCGAGUUGUAAUCUGGAGAAGCGUUUUCCGUGCCGGACCGUGUACAAGUCUCUUGGAACAGAGCGUCAUAGAGGGUGAGAAUCCCGUCCAUGACACGGAUCGCCGGUGCUUUGUGAUACGCUUUCGAAGAGUCGAGUUGUUUGGGAAUGCAGCUCAAAAUGGGUGGUAAAUUCCAUCUAAAGCUAAAUAUUGGCGAGAGACCGAUAGCGAACAAGUACCGUGAGGGAAAGAUGAAAAGCACUUUGGAAAGAGAGUUAAACAGUACGUGAAAUUGUUGAAAGGGAAACGCUUGAAGUCAGUCGCGUCGUCCGGGACUCAGCCUUGCUCCUGCAUGGUGUACUUCCCGUUCGACGGGUCAACAUCGAUUUUGACCGGCGGAUAAAGGCAGGGGGAAUGUGGCACCUUCGGGUGUGUUAUAGCCCUUUGUCGCAUACGUCGGUUGGGAUCGAGGACCGCAGCGCGCCCUCUUUGGGCCGGGGGGUUCGCCCCCACGUAACGCGCUUAGGAUGUUGGCAUAAUGGCUUUAAGCGACCCGUCUUGAA